rnacentral:rRNA from 1 species
AUUGAACGCUGGCGGCAGGCCUAACACAUGCAAGUCGAACGGUAACAGGAAGAAGCUUGCUUCUUUGCUGACGAGUGGCGGACGGGUGAGUAAUGUCUGGGAAACUGCCUGAUGGAGGGGGAUAACUACUGGAAACGGUAGCUAAUACCGCAUAACGUCGCAAGACCAAAGAGGGGGACCUUCGGGCCUCUUGCCAUCGGAUGUGCCCAGAUGGGAUUAGCUAGUAGGUGGGGUAACGGCUCACCUAGGCGACGAUCCCUAUCUGGUCCGAGAGGAUGACCAGCCACACUGGAACUGAGACACGGUCCAGACUCCUACGGGAGGCAGCAGUGGGGAAUAUUGCACAAUGGGCGCAAGCCUGAUGCAGCCAUGCCGCGUGUAUGAAGAAGGCCUUCGGGUUGUAAAGUACUUUCAGCGGGGAGGAAGGGAGUAAAGUUAAUACCUUUACUCAUUGACGUUACCCGCAGAAGAAGCACCGGCUAACUCCGUG